UACGUAGGGUGCAAGCGUUGUCCGGAAUUAUUGGGCGUAAAGAGCUCGUAGGUGGCGGGUCACGUCGGGUGUGAAAGCCCGGGGCUUAACCCCGGGUCUGCAUUCGAUACGGGUCUGCUGGGGUCCGGCAGGGAGAGUGGAAUUCCCGGUGUAGCGGUGAAAUGCGCAGAUAUCAGGAGGAACACCGGUGGCGAAGGCGGGUCUCUGGGC
rnacentral:rRNA from 1 species